AAAAACUGCAGAUGGAUAGCGGAUUAACACUGGAAAAGGCAGUGCUACAGAUAAGACAGCAUGAAGAGAUAAAGAAACAGCAGCCAGUUGUGAGAGAGACAAACGUGAAGGACAGGAAAGAGGCAAACGUGGAUUUGUUAAAGUUUAAGAAAAAGACUUUCAAAGACAACCAAGCACGAAAAUCGUUUGAAACAAAGAGUCACAGUGAAAAUCAAAAUGGACAAAAGUACUGUGGGCGCUGUGGCAAGUCACCUGCACACUCCAAAAACAACUGUGUUGCACGAGACGCAGAGUGCAGAAAAUGUCGAAAAAAGGGACAUUUUGCAGCGGUGUGCAGAUCAGGCAGAGUUGGAGCAGUCCUGGAGGAUGGGGACAAUACACUGUUUUUAGGAACAGUGUCAGCAGGAGCACGGCCCAACAACUGGAAAAAGACACUGGAGGUAAAUGGCAAAAAUGUGACAUUCAAACUGGAUACAGGAGCUGAUGUAACUGUAAUACCAGCUGCCAUCUACUCAAAAGACCUGCAUGGACCACUCACCAGAGCGGAGAAGCCCCUGUGUGGUCCCAGUGGAGAAGCCCUGAAAGUGAAAGGUCAGUUCAAUGCUGUCAUGAAAUACAAAGACAAAAUGACAACACAGCCAGUGUACAUCAUACAGAGACUAUCCAUCCCUCUGCUAGGCUUUCCAGCUAUCACAGCAUUAGGCCUGCUUCACCCUGUAGACAGUGUUAAGGAACUGGAGGCUGACAUGAAAAAACUGUACCCCAAAGUCUUUACAGGGCUGGGCCUCCUUAAAGGGGAGUACAAAAUAAAACUGAAGGAUGAUGCCAAGCCUUAUGCAUUGUCACUGCCACGACGAGUCCCACUGCCAUUAUAUGACAAGGUGAAGACAGAGCUGGAGAGAAUGGAGAAGAUGGGGGUAAUUGAGGCUAUUGAGGAACCAACAGAGUGGUGCGCUGGAAUGGUGGUGGCCCCCAAGCCCAAUGAAAAGGUCAGAAUCUGCUCAGACAUGACUCACCUAAACGAGUAUGUUUGUAGAGAACGCCACAUACUGCCAGCUGUAGAUGAAACUUUGGCCAAAUUCGCAGGUGCAACGGUCUUCACUAAAUUGGAUGCUACAGCGGGAUUUUGGCAGGUGCCUCUCCACCCAGAGUCAGUCCCAUUGACCACAUUCAUCACCCCGUUUGGAAGAUACUGCUACAAAAGGUUGCCAUUCGGAAUCUCGUCAGCACCUGAACAUUUUCAAAAGAGACUGUCCCAAAUGCUGACAGGACUGGAGGGAACUGUGUGUCAUGCAGAUGACAUACUUGUUUUCGGUUCCACUCGAGAACAGCAUGACCAAAGACUGCACCGAGUGUUAGAGCGGCUUCAGGAGGAGGGGCUGACCCUCAACAAUGACAAGUGCCAGUUUGCAGUAGAAAAGGUUAUGUUUCUGGGUCACAUUGUCACAGCACAGGGCAUUGAAGCAGACCCUGGCAAAAUCAAGGCAAUCAAGGAGAUGCCUACACCCAAAGAUGCUGCUGAUGUGAAAAGGUUUGUGGGCAUGGUGAACUACGUCGGAAAGUUUUCCCCACGUGUAGCUGAACUCACACAGCCAC
ensembl:lncRNA